rnacentral:rRNA from 1 species
AGUGAACGCUGGCGGCGUGCCUACUACAUGCAAGUCGAACGAAGUGGCGCACGGGUGAGUAAUAUAUAGUUAAUCUGCCCUACACAGAGGAACAACAGUUGGAAACGACUGCUAAUACCUCAUAGUGUAUGAUGAGACUAUAUCGUAUCCGCUGGUUGGUAAGGUAAUGGCUUACCAAGGCUAUGACGAGUAACUGGUCUGAGAGGAUGAUCAGUGAAAUUGGAACUGGGACACUGUCCAAACUACUACGGGAGGCAGCAGUAAGGAAUAUUGCGCAAUGGGGGAAACCCUGACGCAGCAACGCCGCGUGGAGGAUGACACUUUUCGGAGCGUAAACUCCGUUUAUCAGGAAAGCGGUACCUGAUGAAUAAGCACAGGCUAACUCCGUGCGAGAAGCCGCGGAAAUC